GAGCUCAGAGCAGCAAGGGUCUCCUUUGUGAGACCCAGAACCCUUAUUUCAUAAGAAAGUUUCAAUUGUUUUGUUUUUCAAACAAUGGGUCAGAGUUAAAAGCCAAAGAAGGAGCGAAGCUUGUCAGUUGCUGGAAAAUGGGGAUUUGGGUUGGUGUAUUUGAGUUGGGUUGAAGAACCCCAUAUCUGCGCAGAUGCCUUACCCCCAAUUUUCGCAGUGAAAUCGACAUUAUACGGUGAUGCGCUGGAGCUAGUGGCGGAAAAUUCAAUUCUUGGCACGUUUAGUAGCUGAAAGAGCCUGAUCUGAAGGUGUUGGAAGCCUCUUGGGUACAUGCCUCUGUCUCAAACCUCUGUCAGCACCGUCACUAACGUCCACCUGCAUCCAUGAUGGUCCUCGAUCUCGCAGCACCAAUGCCGUCCGAUAUCAUCCAAAGGUACUCAUAUUGGUGCUCGCUGUGUAAGGUCUGCGGAUCCAAGAGAGAUUCAAGGGAAAGGGCAAUAAACAUACAAGCUCGAAGGAAAAAAAAAAA